AUAGGGUGCAAGCGUUGUCCGGAAUUAUUGGGSGUAAAGAGCUCGUAGGKGGUUWGUUACGUCGGAUGUGAAAACCYNGGGCUCAACCCNAGACCUGCAUCCGAUACUGGCUAGCUUGAGUUUGGUAGRGGAGACUGGAAUUCCUGGUGUAGCGGUGGAAUGCGCAGAUAUCAGGAGGAACACCNAUGGCGAAGGCAGGUCUCUGGGCCAAUACUGACACUGAGGAGCGAAAGCGUGGGGAGCAAACAGGAUUAGAUACCCUGGUAGUCCACRCCGUAAACGAUGGGYACUAGUUGUGGGAACCUUCCACGGUUUCUGCGACSCAWCUMACGCAUUAAKUGCCCCGCCUGGGGAGUACGAUCGCRRGAUUA
rnacentral:rRNA from 1 species